CAGUCGCCGCGGUAAUACGAAGGGGGCUAGCGUUGUUCGGAAUUACUGGGCGUGAAGCGCACGUAGGCGGAUAUUUAAGUCAGGGGUGAAAUCCCAGAGCUCAACUCUGGAACUGCCUUUGAUACUGGGUAUCUUGAGUAUGAAAGAGGUGAGUGGAAUUCCGAGUGUAGGGGUGAAAUUCGUAGAUAUUCGGAGGAACACCAGUGGCGAAGGCGGCUCACUGGUCCAUUACUGACGCUGAGGUGCGAAAGCGUGGGGAGCAAACAGGAUUAGAUACCCCUGUAGUCCCUGUCUCUUAUAC
rnacentral:rRNA from 1 species